GCCUACAACACAAUGUUAAUGCAUCGGAUCCCAUUAGAACUCUGUAGUUAAGCGCACUCGAGCUAGAGUAGUAUUGGGAAUUGUUCUCCUCUCACUCUCUCAUAUAUAAUUGAGUUGAAGGAGGCC
rnacentral:rRNA from 1 species